GGGUUGUGAGGUUAAGCGACUAAGCGUACACGGUGGAUGCCCUGGCAGUCAGAGGCGAUGAAGGGCGUGCUAAUCUGCGAUAAGCGCCGGUAAGGUGAUAUGAACCGUUAUAACCGGCGAUACCCGAAUGGGGAAACCCAGUGUGAUUCGUCACACUAUCAUUAACUGAAUCCAUAGGUUAAUGAGGCGAACCGGGGGAACUGAAACAUCUAAGUACCCCGAGGAAAAGAAAUCAACCGAGAUUCCCCCAGUAGCGGCGAGCGAACGGGGAGGAGCCCAGAGCCUGAAUCAGCAUGUGUGUUAGUGGAAGCGUCUGGAAAGGCGCGCGAUACAGGGUGACAGCCCCGUACACAAAAGCGCAUGUGCUGUGAGCUCGAUGAGUAGGGCGGGACACGUGGUAUCCUGUCUGAAUAUGGGGGGACCAUCCUCCAAGGCUAAAUACUCCUGACUGACCGAUAGUGAACCAGUACCGUGAGGGAAAGGCGAAAAGAACCCCGGCGAGGGGAGUGAAAAAGAACCUGAAACCGUGUACGUACAAGCAGUGGGAGCACAGGUUUACCUGUGUGACUGCGUACCUUUUGUAUAAUGGGUCAGCGACUUAUAUUCUGUAGCAAGGUUAACCGUAUAGGGGAGCCGGAGGGAAACCGAGUCUUAACCGGGCGUUAAGUUGCAGGGUAUAGACCCGAAACCCGGUGAUCUAGCCAUGGGCAGGUUGAAGGUUGGGUAACACUAACUGGAGGACCGAACCGACUAAUGUUGAAAAAUUAGCGGAUGACCUGUGGCUGGGGGUGAAAGGCCAAUCAAACCGGGAGAUAGCUGGUUCUCCCCGAAAGCUAUUUAGGUAGCGCCUCGUGAAUUCAUCUCCGGGGGUAGAGCACUGUUUCGGCUAGGGGGCCAUCCCGGCUUACCAACCCGAUGCAAACUGCGAAUACCGGAGAAUGUUAUCACGGGAGACACACGGCGGGUGCUAACGUCCGUCGUGAAGAGGGAAACAACCCAGACCGCCAGCUAAGGUCCCAAAGUCAUGGUUAAGUGGGAAACGAUGUGGGAAGGCCCAGACAGCCAGGAUGUUGGCUUAGAAGCAGCCAUCAUUUAAAGAAAGCGUAAUAGCUCACUGGUCGAGUCGGCCUGCGCGGAAGAUGUAACGGGGCUAAACCAUGCACCGAAGCUGCGGCAGCGACGUUUAUGCGUUGUUGGGUAGGGGAGCGUUCUGUAAGCCUGCGAAGGUGGCCUGUGAGGGUUGCUGGAGGUAUCAGAAGUGCGAAUGCUGACAUAAGUAACGAUAAAGCGGGUGAAAAGCCCGCUCGCCGGAAGACCAAGGGUUCCUGUCCAACGUUAAUCGGGGCAGGGUGAGUCGACCCCUAAGGCGAGGCCGAAAGGCGUAGUCGAUGGGAAACGGGUUAAUAUUCCCGUACUUGGUGUUACUGCGAAGGGGGGACGGAGAAGGCUAUGUUGGCCGGGCGACGGUUGUCCCGGUUUAAGCGUGUAGGCUGGUUUUCCAGGCAAAUCCGGAAAAUCAAGGCUGAGGCGUGACGACGAGGCACUACGGUGCUGAAGCAACAAAUGCCCUGCUUCCAGGAAAAGCCUCUAAGCAUCAGGUAACAUCAAAUCGUACCCCAAACCGACACAGGUGGUCAGGUAGAGAAUACCAAGGCGCUUGAGAGAACUCGGGUGAAGGAACUAGGCAAAAUGGUGCCGUAACUUCGGGAGAAGGCACGCUGACACGUAGGUGAAGUGAUUUACUCAUGGAGCUGAAGUCAGUCGAAGAUACCAGCUGGCUGCAACUGUUUAUUAAAAACACAGCACUGUGCAAACACGAAAGUGGACGUAUACGGUGUGACGCCUGCCCGGUGCCGGAAGGUUAAUUGAUGGGGUCAGCGCAAGCGAAGCUCCUGAUCGAAGCCCCGGUAAACGGCGGCCGUAACUAUAACGGUCCUAAGGUAGCGAAAUUCCUUGUCGGGUAAGUUCCGACCUGCACGAAUGGCGUAAUGAUGGCCAGGCUGUCUCCACCCGAGACUCAGUGAAAUUGAACUCGCUGUGAAGAUGCAGUGUACCCGCGGCAAGACGGAAAGACCCCGUGAACCUUUACUAUAGCUUGACACUGAACAUUGAGCCUUGAUGUGUAGGAUAGGUGGGAGGCUUUGAAGUGUGGACGCCAGUCUGCAUGGAGCCGACCUUGAAAUACCACCCUUUAAUGUUUGAUGUUCUAACGUGGACCCGUAAUCCGGGUUGCGGACAGUGUCUGGUGGGUAGUUUGACUGGGGCGGUCUCCUCCUAAAGAGUAACGGAGGAGCACGAAGGUUGGCUAAUCCUGGUCGGACAUCAGGAGGUUAGUGCAAUGGCAUAAGCCAGCUUGACUGCGAGCGUGACGGCGCGAGCAGGUGCGAAAGCAGGUCAUAGUGAUCCGGUGGUUCUGAAUGGAAGGGCCAUCGCUCAACGGAUAAAAGGUACUCCGGGGAUAACAGGCUGAUACCGCCCAAGAGUUCAUAUCGACGGCGGUGUUUGGCACCUCGAUGUCGGCUCAUCACAUCCUGGGGCUGAAGUAGGUCCCAAGGGUAUGGCUGUUCGCCAUUUAAAGUGGUACGCGAGCUGGGUUUAGAACGUCGUGAGACAGUUCGGUCCCUAUCUGCCGUGGGCGCUGGAGAACUGAGGGGGGCUGCUCCUAGUACGAGAGGACCGGAGUGGACGCAUCACUGGUGUUCGGGUUGUCAUGCCAAUGGCACUGCCCGGUAGCUAAAUGCGGAAGAGAUAAGUGCUGAAAGCAUCUAAGCACGAAACUUGCCCCGAGAUGAGUUCUCCCUGAGACUUAAAGUCUCCUGAAGGAACGUUGAAGACGACGACGUUGAUAGGCCGGGUGUGUAAGCGCAGCGAUGCGUUGAGCUAACCGGUACUAAUGAACCGUGAGGCUUAACCUUACAACGCCGAAG
rnacentral:rRNA from 2 species